UAUUUUUCUUAUUUUUAUUGAUUUUUGAUUUGAGUUCUUUUUUAAGUAUCGCAAAACAAUUUCAUGCGAAAGAGGAAAGCAACUUAAAACUCAGUUAUUCGAAAGAUUCAUUAUACAAAUAUUAUUCACUUUGUUAUGCCACAGCUAACAGAAUAGCAGACAUAUAUAAGUACAACUUCCUUGUUCGUUUUCUAUAAAAAGAGAUUGUAAAUCUUAUCGAAAUUUAUACUAUCAUUCAUGUUUUGAAAGAAGUUUCAAUAAGAAAUUAUUCAAGAGAAAGAUGAAAAAUCUUCCACAAAUGUCAAAUUAUUUGACAACAGCUUGUGUAAUAUUAAUUAGCUUAACACUUUGUUGCAGCAGAAGUGUGGAAAGAAAGGUUGAUAACGUUGGAAAGAAAGCGAUAAACUUGAUGCCAGGUAAAAAUUAAACUAGCCAGGAAAUAUGGAAACAGGCGUAUCAACUUAAAUGGAGAAUUUUUCAUUGGUAUUUUUGAGCUGCUACAUAUCUGGACUUGAAAAAUAGUUUUCACUCUGAACAGGUUGCAUUGUGAUAUUUUGCAGACCGGAAUAUGUGAAAACCAACUGCACCCCUACUGGAUAAGCGAACCUUGAUCUAUUUUAAUCAAAAAAAUUUGUUAUAAUUUUGUUUGGCAAAUGUAUCAGUGUCUUAGAAAAUGGCUAUUUCCAUCAAAACAGUAUAUAAAAGUAUAUAUCAUAUUUUGGAGGAUUCUUUCCUCCAAGAUCAUAACAAACUCAAGUCAAUUUUCAAGUUAUUAUAGAAAGAAACGUGUAUUUUAUGGAAAUCACUAAUACUUAAAUAACAGCUAUGGGGCUGGACGGUU